GGCGGACGGGUGAGAAACACGUGGGUAACCUGCCCAUAAGAGGGGGAUAACAUCCGGAAACGGGUGCUAAUACCGCAUAGUUUUCUUGAUCGCAUGAUCGGGAAAGGAAAGACGGCCUUUGUGCUGUCGCUUAUGGAUGGACCCGCGGCGUAUUAGUUAGUUGGUGAGGUAACGGCUCACCAAGACGAUGAUACGUAGCCGACCUGAGAGGGUGAUCGGCCACAUUGGGACUGAGACACGGCCCAAACUCCUACGGGAGGCAGCAGUAGGGAAUCUUCCGCAAUGGACGAAAGUCUGACGGAGCAACGCCGCGUGAGUGAAGAAGGUUUUCGGAUCGUAAAACUCUGUUGUCAGAGAAGAACAAGUUGGAGAGUAACUGCUCCAGCCUUGACGGUAUCUGACCAGAAAGCCACGGCUAACUACGUGCCAGCAGCCGCGGUAAU
rnacentral:rRNA from 1 species